CGUAGGUGGCAAGCGUUGUCCGGAAUUAUUGGGCGUAAAGCGCGCGCAGGUGGGAUAUUAAGUCUGGUGUUAAAGUUCGGGGCUCAACCCCGUGAAGCAUUUGGAAACUGAUAUUCUUGAGUGCAGGAGAGGAAAGUGGAAUUCCUAGUGUAGCGGUGAAAUGCGUAGAUAUUAGGGAGGAACACCAGUGGCGAAGGCGACUUUCUGGACUGUGUCUGACACUGAGGCGCGAAAGCCAGGGUAGUGAACGGGAUUAGAUACCCCGGUAAUCCUGGCCGUAAACGAUGGGGUACUAGGUGUUGGGGGUAUCGACCCCUCCAGGUGCCGGAGUUAACGCAAUAAGUACCCCGCCUGGGGAGUACGGCCGCAAGGUUG
rnacentral:rRNA from 1 species